rnacentral:tRNA from 1 species
UAAUCCUGAGGGAAAUUGUUUAACUUGUAUUAUUGUUAAUAUUAUGAUAGAUGUUCAAUUCAUCUUAAGGGCUAU